rnacentral:rRNA from 1 species
GACGAACGCUGGCGGCGUGCCUAAUACAUGCAAGUCGAACGCAUUUUCUUUCAACUUACUUUGCUACACUGAAAGACGGACGGGGGCGUACCGCGUAGUUACACGUCGUUAACCUGCCCAUCAGCUGGGGAUAACACUAGGUAACACCUGCUAAUAUUGCAUAAUGCCUUUUACCGCAUUGUAAAAGGAUGAUGCGCGCUUUUGCGUCAGUCAUGGAUUGACCUGCGGUGCAUUUGCUGGUUAGUGUGGUAACGGCCUACCAAGGCUGCGAUGCAUAGCCGACCUGAGAGGGUGAUCGGCCACACUGGGACUGAGACACGGCCCAGACUCCUACGGGAGGCAGCAGUAGGGAAUCUUCGGCAAUGGACGGAAGUCUGACCGAGCAACGCCGCGGGAGUGAAGAAGGUUUUCGGAUUGUAAAACUCUGUUGUUAGAGAAGAACAAGGAUGAGAGUGGAAAGUUCACCCCUUGACGGUAUCUAACCAGAAAGCCACGGCUAACUACGUG